GACGAACGCUGGCGGCGUGCUUAACACAUGCAAGUCGAACGGAAAGGCCCGGCUCUUGUGGGGUGCUCGAGUGGCGAACGGGUGUGUAACACGUGAGUAACAUGCCCUUGUCAGUGUGAUAAAUUCACGGAACUGGGGCUCAUAUACGAGAGGAGAUCUUGCUGCGUGGUGGUGGUUGGAAAGUUUCGGCGGUGGGGGAUGGACUCGCGGCUUAUCAGCUUGUUGGUGAGGUAGUGGCUUACCAGGGCUUUGACGGGUAGCCGGCCUGAGAGGGUGACCAGCCACAUUGGGACUGAGAGACGGCCCAGACUCGUACGGGAGGCAGCAGUGGGAAAUAUUGCACAAUGGGCGGACGCCUGAUGCAGCAGCGCCGCGUGCGGGAUACCGGCCUUCGGGUUGUAAACCGCUUUCGCCUGUGACGAAGCGUGAGUGACGGUAAUGGGUAAAGAAGCCCCGGCUAACUACGUG
rnacentral:rRNA from 1 species